GACGAACGCUGGCGGCGUGCUUAACACAUGCAAGUCGAACGGUGAAGCGCCUUCCUUUUUGGUGGGUGUGGAUGAGUGGCGAACGGGUGAGUAACACGUGAGUAACCUGCCCCCUUCUUCUGGAUAACCGCAUGAAAGUGUGGCUAAUACGGGAUAUUCUGGGUCUGUCGCAUGAUGGGUCUGGGAAAGAUAUUGUUUCGGUGGGGGAUGGGCUCGCGGCCUAUCAGCUUGUUGGUGGGGUGAUGGCCUACCAAGGCGGUGACGGGUAGCCGGCCUGAGAGGGUGGACGGUCACACUGGGACUGAGACACGGCCCAGACUCCUACGGGAGGCAGCAGUGGGGAAUAUUGCGCAAUGGGCGCAAGCAUGAUGCAGCGACGCCGCGUGAGGGAUGGAGGCCUGCGGGUUGUGAACCUCUUUCGCCAGUGAAGCAGGCCUGCCUCGUUUGUGGGUGGGUUGACGGUAGCUGGAUAAGAAGCGCCGGCUAACUACGUG
rnacentral:rRNA from 1 species